UACGGAGGGUGCGAGCGUUGUCCGGAAUCAUUGGGCGUAAAGGGCGCGUAGGUGGCCCGGUCAGUCUUUGGUGAAAGCGCGGGGCUCAACCCUGCGUCGGCCAGGGAUACUGCCGCGGCUCGAGCACUGUAGAGGCAGGCGGAAUUCCUGGUGUAGCGGUGAAAUGCGCAGAUAUCAGGAGGAACACCGGUGGCGAAGGCGGGUCUCUGGGCCGUAACUGACGCUGAGGAGCGAAAGCGUGGGGAGCGAACAGG
rnacentral:rRNA from 1 species